UGGGGCUAGCAAACUUUUAAAUGCUGA
rnacentral:piRNA from 1 species